rnacentral:rRNA from 1 species
UACGGGGGGGGCAAGCGUUGUUCGGAAUUACUGGGCGUAAAGGGCUUGUAGGUGGCCAACUAAGUCAGACGUGAAAUCCCUCGGCUUAACCGGGGAACUGCGUCUGAUACUGGAUGGCUGGAGUGUGGGAGAGGGAUGCGGAAUUCCAGGUGUAGCGGUGAAAUGCGUAGAUAUCUGGAGGAACACCGGUGGCGAAGGCGGCAUCCUGGACCGACAUUGACGCUGAGGAGCGAAAGCUAGGGGAGCAAACGGG